rnacentral:rRNA from 1 species
UACGGGGGGAGCAAGCGUUGUUCGGAUUUACUGGGCGUAAAGGGCGCGUAGGCGGUCAGCACAAGUCAGUUGUGAAAUCUCCGGGCUUAACUCGGAAAGGUCAACUGAUACUGUGCGACUAGAGUGCAGAAGGGGCAACUGGAAUUCUUGGUGUAGCGGUGAAAUGUGUAGAGAUCGGGAGGAACACCGGUGGCGAAGGCGGGUCUCUGGGCAUUCCCUGACGCUGAGGCGCGAAAGCGUGGGGAGCAAACGGG